AUUAAAUUCACACCCAUUAACCUAACUCAAAUUAAUUACUUGAAUUUCCAACCUAAUUAAAUUAAUCAACCACCCACCACCCUCUACUGAACCCAACCCCCCUCUCAUUCCUCUUGUACCCUAUAACCACCAUGCCCACCACCGCUAUUUCAUUUCUCUCCGAUCAGUGCCACCAUCUCCCUCCUAUCUAUAUCUCUUCAACGCCAUCUCCAUAUUCCCACUCCUCUCUCUCCUCCGCCCAUCUCCCCUCUCCUCUCUCAUGCUCACCAAUGACCAACACACCACCAACGCCAUCAACACCCAGUCUCACCAACCACUCCUUUCUCAUCAACCACCACCCACGAAGGCACGAACACCUACCACUAAAUUAAAGUUGUCGCUUCUCUCUUGAGUCGAUGCACUCUCAAGGCUGAUCUAGGGUUCAACAUCAACCAACCACCAAAGUCGUGGCUCCUCACUCAACGUGGAUCUUGGGCUCUUCAACAUCAACCAACCAACACCCACGAACAUAAGUCAGUCCUCAAUUUGAAGGUCUGAUGGCGCAAUCCAUCUUUCCCGGCCCCACUGUUCGCAGUGUUCUCACCCUCCAUGACAAGCAUUGGAGUGAGGAUGCCUGGAGGGGAGUAGCGGACACGGUAUUAUCGUGCCGGUUGCAUCAUCAUAGUCUCACUUGUGACUGGGAGGUUCACGAUAGAGUUCUUCGGUAUGUUGAGCGUGCUGGAUUUCUCGGCAUACAUCGUUUGUUAGGGGGAGGUUUGGAGAUUGAUUGACCACUUCUGACGGCAUUAGUGGGGCGAUGGAGGCAGGAGACACAUACCUUUCAUUUGACUAUCGGGGAGACGACGAAUACUUUAGAAGAUGUCGUUGUUAUCCUUGGACUCAGAGUGCACGGGCCACCUGUUACUAGUGGAGGCGAGGGUAAUUGGGCUGCAGUAGUGCAUGAGUUGUUAGGGGAUUUGGCACACCACACCGGAGAACGACCCCAAAGUUCUCCAGGGUUCGUCUUUGAGGUUGACAUGGCUUCGGCUUCAUUUUGUCUUGUUGUCGAACGAUGUUGAUGAAGUGACAGUACAGCGAUUUGCACGGGCUUAUAUUCUUGUCUUCAUGAAGUCCAUUCUUUUUGCUGACAAGAGUGGGGAUACAGUCCAGGUGUUUUAUCUUCCACUUUUGGCAGAUCUCGACGUAGCAGGGACAUAUAGUUGGGUAGUGCAACCUUUGCAUACUUGUAUCGACAGCUAUGUCGGGCCAUCACAGAGGGGUGUGAAGGAGUUAGGUGGACCUUUGUUGUUGCUAUAACUUUGGGCAUGGGAGCACAUACAUAUCGGCAGACCUCGGAUUUCGCGGUUGGGGGACCCACCUCCACUGUUUGACGAUGGCGCUCCUAUUUUUGGCUCCCAGUAUAUUUCGGGGGUUGACCCUUUAGCUAUCAAGUAAUAUGCAGUGUCUCACAAUUGUUGAAAUUAUUUAAUUUCAUUUUUCUCAAGGAUAUCAAUGUGUAUUUCUUUUCAGUUGGCUUCGGGUACACCUCACUAGGUCCCACUUAGCAAGUGGGCUUUCUUACUACAUGGAUGCACUUGACCAUCAGAUGGACGAGUAGGUACAUAGGGUCUCACAUGCCUAACUUAUAUACAUUGGUAGACAUCUCUCACAUGCCUGAUAUUUGCAAGAUUCUUUCUUUGAAGAUGAUUUGGCUGUCAUAUACUGAUGCGAGACUGGAGUUGUUACCUGCUAUAUGUCGAGCUGAUCGACAUGUAUGGCGCACAUUGGCUCCACUUAUUUGUUUCAACAUUGUGGCAUUUCAUUUUCCUGAUCGAGUUAUGCGCUAGUUUGGAUUCGAGCAGACGAUUCCAGCACCUUGUGAUACGAGCACAGCCCUUCAUGGCAUAGAUCGGAGGUCGAAGAAUAAGAAUUAUCCGCUCAGACAUUGACCUUCCAUAGUGCAGUGGGAUGAGCGCGAGAGACGUGCUGUUCAGGGCACUCCGAUUAGUGGUUGUACUCAUGCCAUUGUGGAGUAUAUGAUAUGGUAUCGUCGCAUCACGAGGUUACGCAUGACAGAUCCAUUGAGGCGACCUCCUUCUACACAUUAUCAGCCUGCGUCUGCAGAUAUAGUACUGGCACAUACUUUAUUUGAUGUUGCUCAUAGGUGCAACAUUGUACUAGAGGCUGCUGAGUCAUUGCCUCCAGAUAUGGGGCGCCAGUUGUUUGCACAGACAUGACCAUGAGGGGAUUGUGUAUUGAUGUUGUUGGCCGAGCUGGACAUGUCCACAUCUUACAGGGCGUGCCUACUUCUGCUGCACAUACAUCGAUUUCUACAUCUUCUAUGUCUGCGGCCCAUACAUCUACCACGACACCUUUGCUUUCGCCUCCAGUCUGUCAGAGGACCUAUCGACGACGUUCUGCCACCACUCCAUCUUCUCUUGAUGUCAUUGCAGAGUCUAGUGAGACCAUACCUAGUUCAUCUAGACCUUCACAAAAGAAGAAGAGGGGGUCUUAGCACCUUCAUUUAUUGUUUGUAUAGUUAGUUAACACUAUGUUACAUUUUAACUUUGUUUGUGAUUGACAUAUUUUCUUAAUCUAACUUCGUAAUUAAGAAAUUCUUGGAUAAAUUUGAAUGUGGAUGAACUUGGUGUUUGGUGAUU